rnacentral:lncRNA from 1 species
GCAUAAACUUAUAUCUUUUAGAAAGAAUAGAUAUAAUAUGUGAAAUUAUCUCUAAUUUGAUAAAUAAUUUCUAUUUAUAUAGGAGGCAAUUAUUUAUUAUUUUUUUCUCAAUUUAGUAAUAUAGAACUGAGUAUAUUUCAUGUUUUAAUUGAUAAAGUACUUAAAUAAUUAGUUUUCCUUAAGAUAAGUUUUUACUUUUAUUGAAAUAGUGUUUCUCAUUUCUAAACAAUAUAAAUUAGCAGUCUGGAGAUUAUUCUUAUAUAUAUCAUUAUCUAAAGGUACUGUUUUCAUCACAUUCGUAUGGAAUACUAUAUUUCUUGAUUACUUGUUCAUAUAUAUGCAUUAAUUUUAAUCAUAAUUUAAAAUCAGGAAAAUAAGAGGUUAGGAUACUAUGAAUUUGUGUAUUAUAUCUUACAAAAAUUGAACUUUUUCUAUUCAUAAUAAACAAUCGUUUUAA